rnacentral:lncRNA from 1 species
CAAUUCUACUAUCAUCUUCACAAAUCAGCUUUCUAUAAUCCCUAAAUAUCAUCAUAACAUAAAAUACAUAUUAACUACUUGAACACAAUACUUAACAGUCAAAAAAAUACAUUUACAAAUAAAAAAAUACUUCUUUCUCACUUUCUUCUUCAGAUUCAUCAGCAUAAGAUUUGUCAACAUCGUCUUCAAUUCUUUUAGAUUUCCUUUUUGUCUCAUAUCAUUUUUUAGAUUUUUACUCCUUUGGAGAAGGAGUUUUCUUCAACCCUUUUCUUUUCAAAUUUCAGUCAUCUUCACUUCGUCGUUGCGAAACUUCGACCUAAUCUUCUUCGAUCUCCCAGAUUUCUUCAACUAUAACGGAUUUGAAACAACUUUAACUAAAUCUUCUUGAGUUAAAUCAAGACUAAAAGAUGGUGCAUCAAACACUAAAUUCAUAUUCCUUAUACCAAUGUUUGUAGGUGUUUUUGUUGUGUGUUCAUCCAUUAAAACACAAAACCUUUAAAAUCUGAAUUUCAGAUGAAUUAAAGUAGAAAAAAAUAAAUAAACUUCUAACAUGCAAUAUGCGAUUAAUGGUUACCUGUAAUAGAGGAAGCAAAUCCUUAUCACAGAUCAUGCAAGAAUCGUGCAAAAGACAAUAAAAUUAACGCAGAAGUGAUGGUUAAUAGCAAAAAAAAAAAAGAAUAAAAAUUUUAAAUUAAAAAAAGAGAAAGGAGUGAAAAAUGUAAUUAGAAAAAAAUAUUAUUAUUUUUUUGU